GUGCCAGCAGCCGCGGUAAUACGUAGGUGGCAAGCGUUGUCCGGAUUUAUUGGGCGUAAAGCGAGCGCAGGCGGUUUCUUAAGUCUGAUGUGAAAGCCUUCGGCUCAACCGAAGAAGUGCAUCGGAAACUGGGAAACUUGAGUGCAGAAGAGGACAGUGGAACUCCAUGUGUAGCGGUGAAAUGCGUAGAUAUAUGGAAGAACACCAGUGGCGAAGGCGGCUGUCUGGUCUGUAACUGACGCUGAGGCUCGAAAGCAUGGGUAGCAAACAGGAUUAGAUACCCUGGUAGUCCAUGCCGUAAACGAUGAGUGCUAGGUGUUGGAGGGUUUCCGCCCUUCAGUGCCGCAGCUAACGCAUUAAGCACUCCGCCUGGGGAGUACGACCGCAAGGUUGAAACUCAAAGGAAUUGACGGGGGCCCGCACAAGUGGUGGAGCAUGUGGUUUAAUUCGAAGCAACGCGAAGAACCUUACCAGGUCUUGACAUCCUUUGACCACUCUAGAGAUAGAGCUUUCCCUUCGGGGACAAAGUGACAGGUGGUGCAUGGUUGUCGUCAGCUCGUGUCGUGAGAUGUUGGGUUAAGUCCCGCAACGAGCGCAACCCUUAUUACUAGUUGCCAGCAUUAAGUUGGGCACUCUAGUGAGACUGCCGGUGACAAACCGGAGGAAGGUGGGGACGACGUCAAAUCAUCAUGCCCCUUAUGACCUGGGCUACACACGUGCUACAAUGGAUGGUACAACGAGUUGCGAGACCGCGAGGUUUAGCUAAUCUCUUAAAACCAUUCUCAGUUCGGAUUGUAGGCUGCAACUCGCCUACAUGAAGCCGGAAUCGCUAGUAAUCGCGGAUCAGCAUGCCGCGGUGAAUACGUUCCCGGGCCUUGUACACACCGCCCGU
rnacentral:rRNA from 1 species